GGAGUUCCGGGAAGAGUUCUCUUUUCUUUUUAACAGUCUUCGCGCCCUGGAAUCGGUUUAGCCGGAGAUAGGGCCCAAUGGCUGGUAAAGCACUGCACUUCUCGCAGUGUCCGGUGCACUCUCGACGAUCCUUGAAAAGCUAGGCGAGCCUCGGUACAGAUCGACUCCACUCGUACUCAUAACCGCAUCAGGUCUCCAAGGUGAACAGCCUCUAGUCGAUAGAA
rnacentral:rRNA from 1 species